rnacentral:rRNA from 1 species
AUUGAACGCAGGCGGCAUGCCUUACACAUGCAAGUCGAACGGCAGCGCGGGGCAACCUGGCGGCGAGUGGCGAACGGGUGAGUAAUAUAUCGGAACGUACCCUGGAGUGGGGGAUAACGUAGCGAAAGUUACGCUAAUACCGCAUACGAUCUAAGGAUGAAAGUGGGGGAUCGCAAGACCUCAUGCUCCUGGAGCGGCCGAUAUCUGAUUAGCUAGUUGGUAGGGUAAAAGCCUACCAAGGCAUCGAUCAGUAGCUGGUCUGAGAGGACGACCAGCCACACUGGAACUGAGACACGGUCCAGACUCCUACGGGAGGCAGCAGUGGGGAAUUUUGGACAAUGGGCGCAAGCCUGAUCCAGCAAUGCCGCGUGAGUGAAGAAGGCCUUCGGGUUGUAAAGCUCUUUUGUCAGGGAAGAAACGGGCCUUUCUAAUACAGGGGUCUAAUGACGGUACCUGAAGAAUAAGCACCGGCUAACUACGUGCCAGCCGCCGCCGUAAGAC